AUGAGGACUUGGACCUUUUCUCUCAUUUUCCACCCCUUAACCCAAAAAGAGAAGCCUUCUCUUUCCCUCUCUAAACCUCUCUCUCUCCUAGCUCCUAGAGUGUUACUCCAAAAGUGGAGAUUUGGUGGAAGAAGCUUACUUGGAGGUGGAGCUUUGCUCUUCCUUACCAUUGGCUUGAAGAGAGCUUGGGUUUGGAUCGGAAGGAAUCGACGGCCGUAAAUCGCGCUACUAGGCUACCCGCUUUGUGUCGACGCCACAAGAGCCUAGUACGAGCGCGUGCGUCGAGGAUCGCGGCAAGGGCAUCGCGCCCUAGAUAGAGUGGACCAUCGACAUUAGCUCGCUACCCCCUAUGUAUAGCAAGGAAUGAAUGAAUGUAAAAACCCUUUUGGAAAGAGAAUGUGAUGUGUAUGUUAAAUGAGAGGUUUUGUAAUAAGCUAGAGAAUGUAAGUUGUUAAAGACUCUAUGUGGAAAUGUUUUAGUAAGUAGCUUGCUUUCUCUUGUGUCUUGAUA